GAUGAACGCUGGCGGCGUGCCUAAUACAUGCAAGUCGAGCGAACAGAUAAGGAGCUUGCUCCUUUGACGUUAGCGGCGGACGGGUGAGUAACACGUGGAUAACCUACCUAUAAGACUGGGAUAACUUCGGGAAACCGGAGCUAAUACCGGAUAACAUAUUGAACCGCAUGGUUCAAUAGUGAAAGGCGGCUUUGCUGUCACUUAUAGAUGGAUCCGCGCCGUAUUAGCUAGUUGGUAAGGUAACGGUUUACCAAGGCAACGAUACGUAGCCGACCUGAGAGGGUGAUCGGCCACACUGGAACUGAGACACGGUCCAGACUCCUACGGGAGGCAGCAGUAGGGAAUCUUCCGCAAUGGGCGAAAGCCUGACGGAGCAACGCCGCGUGAGUGAUGAAGGUCUUCGGAUCGUAAAACUCUGUUAUCAGGGAAGAACAAAUGUGUAAGUAACUGUGCACAUCUUGACGGUACCUGAUCAGAAAGCCACGGCUAACUACGUG
rnacentral:rRNA from 1 species